UGCCAGACUCCUACGGGAGGCAGCAGUGGGGAAUAUUGCACAAUGGGGGAAACCCUGAUGCAGCGACGCCGCGUGAGUGAAGAAGUAUUUCGGUAUGUAAAGCUCUAUCGGCAGGGAAGAAGUUGACGGUACCUGAGUAAGAAGCCCCGGCUAACUACGUGCCAGCAGCCGCGGUAAUACGUAGGGGGCAAGCGUUAUCCGGAUUUACUGGGUGUAAAGGGAGCGUAGACGGCGGUGCAAGUCUGAAGUGAAAGCCCCGGGCUUAACCCGGGAAGUGCUUUGGAAACUGUACGGCUGGAGUGCUGGAGAGGGAAGCGGAAUUCCUAGUGUAGCGGUGAAAUGCGUAGAUAUUAGGAGGAACACCAGUGGCGAAGGCGGCUUACUGGACAGUAACUGACGUUGAGGCUCGAAAGCGUGGGGAGCAAACAGGAUUAGAUACCCCCGUAAAC
rnacentral:rRNA from 1 species